AAAAACUCAAUUCCUAGGUUUCCGUGUCUAACGUUUGAUCGUCCGUCUUAUUUAAAAAAAUAAUAAAAAUUUUUUAAAAAAGAUAAAUCAUGCAUAAAAUAUUAUUCAUAUUUUAUUAUCUAACAAUAAUAAAAAUACUAAUUAUAAAAAAAAUCAUGUAAGACGAAUGAUUAAAUAUUGGACACGGAAACCCAAGAAUUGAGUCUUU
rfam:Oryza barthii chromosome 3, whole genome shotgun sequence.